GCGGACGUGGCGGAAUUGGCAUACGCGCAUGCUUGAGGUGCAUGUCCCGCAAGGGGUGGAGGUUCAAGUCCUCUCGUCCGCACCA
rnacentral:tRNA from 1 species